AACAAGGUCUCCGUUGGUGAACCAGCGGAGGGAUCAUUAUCGAGUUAUUCAACUCCCAAACCCUGUGUGAACUUACCACUUGUUGCUUCGGCGCGCGCUUCGGCGCCGCCGAGGACACUUAAACUCUUUGUUUUUAUAAGCAUUUCUGAGUGGCCGAAAGGCAAAAAUACAAAUGAAUCAAAACUUUCAACAACGGAUCUCUUGGUUCUGGCAUCGAUGAAGAACGCAGCGAAAUGCGAUAAGUAAUGUGAAUUGCAGAAUUCAGUGAAUCAUCGAAUCUUUGAACGCACAUUGCGCCCGCCAGCAUUCUGGCGGGCAUGCCUGUUCGAGCGUCAUUUCAACCCUCGAGCCCGACUCUUUUGAGGACGGCUCGGCGUUGGGGGACGGCAGACUCCCCCCGGCAUCUCGCCGGGGACGCCGCCCCCGAAAUCUAGUGGCGGCCCUCCGAGGCGACCUCUGCGUAGUAACUUGUUCUCGCACCGGAAAGCUCAGAGCGGCCACGCCGUAAAACCCCAACUUUUUUCGGGUUGACCUCGAAUCAGGUAGGACUACCCGCUGAACUUAAGCAUAUCAACAAGGUCUCCG
rnacentral:rRNA from 1 species